UCCAAAUAAAGACUCGAUCGCUUUACAUCGUGUUCCAAUAUAUUAUGCAAGUGACAUAUCAGUAAGAUUUCAGUAGAAUAAACAUUCAGAUUGUAGUUUUUCUAAGAAAUUGCAAACCGGUAUUUGAAGCUGCUGGUGUCUCUGGAGUCUUGAGAAGCUCUCAUGCAGGCUGGCAGUUGUGCGUAAAGAUGCAUUUCAGCCACCACUAAACAAACCUCACAAAGAGAAAUAUUUACAGUGGGUGUAGAAGUACAUGAAAACUCAUUUUUAAAUAGUUUUAUUCACUGACUAAUGCCGUACUACAAUGGAUGGUCCAAAUGGAUGGAUUUCUGGAUGGUUGGUGAAUGGCCACCACAUUCCAACAAGACUGUGACGUCAGCAGGGAGCUGGCGGGUGAUGAUUUGGGCUGGAAUAUUGGGAAGUGAGAUGGAAGGUCCCUUUAGAUUCUCUGAGGGUAUUAAAAUGACUUCAUCAAGAUAUGUGGAGUUCAUAACGGGCCAUUUUCUGCUAUGGUAUAAAAAGGAGGAUAGCGCCUUCUGAAAUACAAUACACUAUGAACUAUCCCAUGCUGCAAAAAACACCACAGCAAUAAAACUGUUUGAAAAUGUAUUUCUACACCCACUGUAAAUGUUUCUCUCUAAAGAGACAUGGAUAAAUUAACAAACAUUUUCUUAGAAAAACUAAAAUCUGAAUGUUUAUUGUACUGAAAUCUUACUGAUAUGUCACUUGCAUAAUAAUUUGGAACGCGGUGUAUAUGAUGAACAGAUUUAAUUUAAUUUAUUCACAUAUAAACAUUCAUCAACUCACAUCAAUUCUGAUAAACCAACGGAAGCUCAAACAUGUUCACAUGACGUGCAAGAACCAAUGAGGUUCAUUCUCGUGUUACGCAGCAUGUUUGAGCUUCAGCGAGAACCAAUGAGGUUCAUUCUCGUGUUACGCGGCACGUUUGAGCUUCAGCAAGAACCAAUGAGGUUCAUUCUCGUGUUACGCGGCACGUUUGAGCUUCAGCAAGAACCAAUGAGGUUCAUUCUCGUGUUACGCGGCACGUUUGAGCUUCAGCAAGAACCAAUGAGGUUCAUUCUCGUGUUACGCGGCACGUUUGAGCUUCAGCAAGAACCAAUGAGGUUCAUUCUCGUGUUACGCGGCACGUUUGAUCUUCAACAAGAACCAAUGAGGUUCAUUCUCGUGUUACGCGGCACGUUUGAGCUUCAGCAAGAACCAGUGAGGUUCAUUCUCGUGUUACGCGGCACGUUUGAGCUUCAGCAAGAACCAAUGAGGUUCAUUCUCGUGUUACGCGGCACGUUUGAUCUUCAACGAGAACCAAUGAGGUUCAUUCUCGUGUUACGCAGCACGUUUGAUCUUCAACGAGAACCAAUGAGGUUCAUUCUCGUGUUACGCGGCACGUUUGAUCUUCAGCAAGAACCAAUGAGGUUCAUUCUCGUGUUACGCGGCAUGUUUGAUCUUCAACAAGAACCAAUGAGGUUCAUUCUCGGGUGUUACAAAAUCACAGAAUUGUCAAAAUGCCCAUUUUGUCGAGUAUCCUCAUAAGCACAGUCUUAAAUGAGUUAAAUAGUGUUAAAUGAACGCAAGGAGUUGAGAAAUUAAGGUUGUGUCAGAUCUACGUCAUGCGAGUCAGGUCCUAAAGUGACAGCAGCCUAAUAAACCUGCUACAGUCUGUGUCAUUAAUGUUAAUCAAAUAACAAGUAAAUGACUCACUGCUCUUCACUGAUUAACUUUUGUAGUUUUAAUAAGGAUUAAAUUUACAAUUUAUGCAGUGAAGACUGCAGUGUUUGAUAAUUCAGUUUCUGUAUUUACCUCUUAGAUCUACCUUAAAACCUUAAGGCACUGUUUACAAGAUUACAGGGGUCAAAAACACUGAAAACAAUAACUUUUUUGUGCAUUUGAGCAGCACAGGUAAAAACCGGCAUGACUGGACCAGUAGGAAAAAAACCUUAGCGUUGACCCCUAAUAUAUUAAAGGCACAGGUAAAGGUGACACAUAUUGCUGUGGGGUUUAUGUGAAGAUUGUUUUAAGUUCAUUUACAGUACAUAAAAAUUUGUUAAAUUUUUAAAGCCUAUUAAAUGUUAAAACUGGCCUUCAUUCAUAGUGCUUAGAAAAAAAGAAAUAUUUAAAAUGUAUGUUGUUUUUACAUUAUUUUGGAGAUUCAAUGUAAAUAUAUUACAAUAUAAAACUACAUUAAAACUUUAA